UUUCCUACGGGGCGCAGCAGUGAGGAAUAUUGGUCAAUGGGCUUACGCCUGAACCAGCCAAGUCGCGUGAGGGAAGACUGCCCUAUGGGUUGUAAACCUCUUUUGUCAGGGAGCAACGCCGGCUACGUGUAGCCGGACUGAGAGUACCUGAAGAAAAAGCAUCGGCUAACUCCGUGCCAGCAGCCGCGGUAAUACGGAGGAUGCGAGCGUUAUCCGGAUUUAUUGGGUUUAAAGGGUGCGCAGGCGGAAUGUCAAGUCAGUGGUAAAAUUUCGGGGCUGAACACAGUAGUGCAGUUGAAACUGGG
rnacentral:rRNA from 1 species